UUUACGUGUGUGUGAAUGUGUGUGUGCUGCGAUUUGGUCGGAGUUUCCGAAGAGAAAUGUCACAUCGUGAGGAGAGUGACCAAACGCUACUACGACAUGCUCGACGAUGGAUCGUCUUUCCCGACUAGCGAGAGGCAGAGAGAAGGGAAAGUUCUGUGCCAGCGGUGGUUUUUCCGAGUGUUGUUGGAUACAUCGACGGGACGCAUAUCCACAUUCAGGCGGCGAAAAUAAUGAGCACCAGUACGUGAAUGGAAAAUAUUUUCAUUCACUGAAUGUUCAGGUUAAUGUUUAUCAACGUGCUUGCAAAGUGGCAUCCAGGGUGUCUGCAGCCUUUGGAAGCAACUGUAGACUAUUGGACCGGGUCAUGCUAGGUGACAGUAGCUGCAUGAUAGGAGAGUGAUUGUUGACAUCAUUUCAGCAUCCUGCACCCUUGCAGGAAAGGAAAUACAACACAGCACAUAGCUGUACAUGCAACUGGCAUAGCUAAAAAGAGAUGGGAUUGUCUCUAGGGUCUGAAGAUGGAACCAGAUCAGGCAUGUGAAGUGACUGUGUUCUCAAUCGGGGAGAGCCAGACAAUGAUGGCGACAAUAAUGAUGUUGGACAUAACAAUGAUUUAAAUAAUGAAAAUCACUACAAUAAAAUCAAUGACACUGUUUCAGAACAUGAUGCUCCCACAGAAAGAGCCCAUGUUGCAGCAGGCCAAGCUGUCAGGAACCAAUCUGUUUAUAGACUUUUCUUGUAAAUAUGUUAAACCAUAAUUUUAUACAUUUCAGAACUAUUAUGAUAACGAAGUUAGAACAUCAACAAUAGACAUAGUCAACAGUUUAGAUGUAGGCCCAACAUGUGUUACAACAGGUCAAGCUGCUAGUAUCCAGUUUAUAAGUAGAUUUUUCUUGUGAAUAUAUCAUAAUUUUAUACUUUUCUGUAGAGUUCACAAUAUCAGAACUAUGUGACUGUAGAAAUAGUUAAAUUUUCAUUCUUAUGAAACUUAGUAGCUGUUCAUUCAUACAUAUCUCUUUAGAAAGUAGCAAAUGCUUUUUAACUUUAAUAAAUGAAAGAUGCAGUUCUUCUUGGACAGGACAUUUCAAAAAAUGUAUGAGGUUUCCUUUAUGAAAUUAUUACAAGGGAAAAUUUCGACAUAGGCUUGCAGACAGUAGUGCAUGUGGUGGCCUCUGCAAGUGUUUGUCAAGAGUAGCGGUCAUCACUAAGACAUGUUCUUAAUGCUGUCACUUGGCUAUUAAAAUCUUAUAUUCUUCUUGAAC